AUUGAACGCUGGCGGCAUGCCUUACACAUGCAAGUCGAACGGCAGCACGGGGGCAACCCUGGUGGCGAGUGGCGAACGGGUGAGUAAUACAUCGGAACGUGCCCCGUAGCGGGGGACAACCAGUCGAAAGACUGGCUAAUACCGCAUACGCUCCACGGAGGAAAGCAGGGGAUCGCAAGACCUUGCACUAUGGGAGCGGCCGAUGCCCGAUUAGCUAGUUGGUGAGGUAAAGGCUCACCAAGGCAACGAUCGGUAGCUGGUCUGAGAGGACGACCAGCCACACUGGGACU
rnacentral:rRNA from 1 species